GAUGAACGCUGGCGGCGUGCCUAAUACAUGCAAGUCGAGCGAACGGACGAGAAGCUUGCUUCUCUGAUGUUAGCGGCGGACGGGUGAGUAACACGUGGAUAACCUACCUAUAAGACUGGGAUAACUUCGGGAAACCGGAGCUAAUACCGGAUGAUAUUUUGAACCGCAUGGUUCAAAAGUGAAAGACGGUCUUGCUGUCACUUAUAGAUGGAUCCGCGCUGCAUUAGCUAGUUGGUAAGUUACCGGCUUACCAAGGCAACGAUGCAUAGACGACCUGAGAGGGUGAUCGGCCACACUGGAACUGAGACACGGUCCAGACUCCUACGGGAGGCAGCAGUAGGGAAUCUUCCGCAAUGGGCGAAAGCCUGACGGAGCAACGCCGCGUGAGUGAUGAAGGUCUUCGGAUCGUAAAACUCUGUUAUUAGGGAAGAACAUAUGUGUAAGUAACUGUGCACAUCUUGACGGUACCUAAUCAGAAAGCCACGGCUAACUACGUG
rnacentral:rRNA from 1 species